AACGGGAUUUAGUAAACAGAAGCCUCGGUGGAAGAUUACUAAUGAGAGUGGCGAACGGGUGAGUAACGCGUGAGCAACCUGCCUAUGACAGUGGGAUAGCCUCGGGAAACCGGGAUUAAUACCGCAUAAAAUCGUAGAAACACAUGUUUUAACGGUCAAAGAUUUAUCGGUCAUAGAUGGGCUCGCGUCUGAUUAGCUAGUUGGUGAGAUAACAGCCCACCAAGGCGACGAUCAGUAGCCGGUCUGAGAGGAUGAACGGCCACAUUGGAACUGAGACACGGUCCAAACUCCUACGGGAGGCAGCAGUGGGGAAUAUUGCACAAUGGGGGAAACCCUGAUGCAGCGACGCCGCGUGAACGAAGAAGGUAUUCGUAUCGUAAAGUUCUGUCCUAUGGGAAGAUAAUGACAGUACCAUAGAAGAAAGCUCCGGCUAAAAC
rnacentral:rRNA from 1 species